rnacentral:misc_RNA from 1 species
GAUGAAGAACGUAGCAAAAUGCGAUAAGUAAUGUGAAUUGCAGAAUUCAGUGAAUCAUCGAAUCUUUGAACGCACAUUGCGCCCCUUGGUAUUCCGGGGGGCAUGCCUGUUCGAGCGUCAUUUCAACCCUCAAGCUUCUGCUUGGUCUUGGGCCGUGCCGGCAACGGCUGGCCUUAAAACUAGUGGCGGUGCCAUCGAGCUCUACGCGUAGUAAUUCUAUCUCGCGUCUGGGCUUCGGUGGACGCUGGCCAGCAACCCCCAAUUUUCUAUGGUUGACCUCGGAUCAGGUAGGGAUACCCGCUGAACUUAAGCAUAUCAAUAAGCGGAGGA